CCUACGGGUGGCAGCAGUGAGGAAUAUUGGUCAAUGGACGAGAGUCUGAACCAGCCAAGUAGCGUGAAGGAUGACUGCCCUAUGGGUUGUAAACUUCUUUUAUAAAGGAAUAAAACGAGGCACGUGUGCCUUUUUGCAUGUCCUUUAUGAAUAAGGAUCGGCUAACUCCGUUCCAGCAGCCGCGGUAAUAAGGAGGAUCCGAGCGUUAUCCGGAUUUAUUGGGUUUAAAGGGAGCGUAGAUGGGUUGUUAAGUCAGUUGUGAAAGUUUGCGGCUCAACCGUAAAAUUGCAAUUGAUACUGGCAGUCUUGAGUACAGUUGAGGUAGGCGGAAUUCGUGGUGUAGCGGGGAAAUGCUUAGAUAUCACGAAGAACCCCGAUUGCGAAGGCAGCUUACUAAACUGUGACUGACAUUGAUGCUCGAAAGUGUGGGUAGCAAACAGGAUUAGAUACCCGAGUAGUC
rnacentral:rRNA from 1 species